AUGUGCCAUGCGUGCACUGCGCUUCUGAGCGCGCGCUGUUCGAACACAUCUGACCACCGAUCGCGACGCUGUGUUGGCC
rnacentral:sRNA from 1 species